rnacentral:rRNA from 1 species
UACGUAGGUGACAAGCGUUGUCCGGAUUUACUGGGCGUAAAGAGCGCGCAGGCGGUCGUUCAAGUCGAGUGUGAAAGCCCCCGGCUCAACUGGGGAGGGUCAUUCGAUACUGAUCGACUCGAAGGCAGGAGAGGGAAGUGGAAUUCCCGGUGUAGUGGUGAAAUGCGUAGAUAUCGGGAGGAACACCAGUGGCGAAGGCGGAUCUCUGGGCCUUACCUGACGCUGAGGCGCGAAAGCUAGGGGAGCAAACAGG